UACGGAGGGUGCAAGCGUUUAAUCGGAAUUACUGGGCGUAAAGCGUGCGUAGGCGGUUCGUUAAGUCUGUUGUGAAAGCCCCGGGCUCAACCUGGGAAUGGCAAUGGAUACUGGCGAGCUAGAGUGUGUCAGAGGAUGGUGGAAUUCCCGGUGUAGCGGUGAAAUGCGUAGAGAUCGGGAGGAACAUCAGUGGCGAAGGCGGCCAUCUGGGACAACACUGACGCUGAGGCACGAAAGCGGUGGGGAGCAAACAGG
rnacentral:rRNA from 1 species